rnacentral:lncRNA from 1 species
GGCCUGGGGCACGACUCUACCGCCAGCCCUUCCUCACAUGUCGGAUCUCCCGGGCUGGGGGGCGGGAGAGGGGGCGCCCGGCGGAUGCAGGAGGUGAGGAACUCGGGUUCGGGGAGAGCGACGGGAGGAGCAAGGAAGAGCAGCGCCGCUGCACAGCCGCGGAGGGAGGCUGGUCCCCUCAACAGUCGCCAAGAAUCCUCCGACCUAGCGAAGGAUGUCCUGCCAAAGAGUCACCCAGUUUCUGCAAGUGUUUCGUGUCCUCUCAGUAUGACAUUAAAGGGAACAGAAGUGCAUCUUGACCCAUGUCUCUAUUCUAUGGAAAGUGGGAAGUCAGAGCACCAGGAUUGUACGGGAGCUAGGGAGAAGGCCAAUGAAUCCACGCCUGGCUGGAUCCUUUAUGUUCACUUCUUAUUCAAAUUCUACAGUUUGGUUUGGUCUGGAUUUGGUAAACACCAUUUGAAGUCAUUUGCUCUGCAGAAGUUUGAGAAACGUGACAACUGAGUUGUGUGGUUCAUCCUUUCAAAGAAGCCACAGAUGCUGUUUUUCAAAAUAAAAAUGAAAUGGAAGAU